CAGUAUACUGGUGAAACCUCAGCCUUAUAUUGAUUGCCGCCAUUUUGCUGCGAAGUGCGCAGUUGUUGGCCCAGAAAACAGGCGCGCAGGGAGGUGAAGGGGGCGGUGAAUGGCGUCACGUAUAUAAGGAGGUCAUGACGUCAUCGCGCCACAUUUUCGUCCGAUUCGUCGUCAUGUGUGAUCGUUUGUGAAGUGCGUCAAGAAAAAGUUCUUUUGUGCCUGGUCUGAUACAGCCCAUUGCGUUUCGCGUGGGUCUGCGUCUGACGGCCGCCAUCUUGGCCGCCACUGGGGCGCGGCGCUGCUCGCUACUAUGGGUUUGUAACGGUAUCGUGCAUUUAUUUUAGUUUAAUUUUAAAUUGUAAAUAAAUAGUAAAAUUGUUA